rnacentral:rRNA from 1 species
AGACAAGCGAGAGAGAGUACGAGGAGGAUGCCUAGGCGCUGAAGGCCGACGAAGGACGCGGAGACCGGCGAAACGUUCAGGGGGAGCUGCAUGCGAGCGAGGAGCCCUGAGAUUCCGAAUGGGGCAACCCCUCCAGAGUGAUGUCUGGAGACCCGCUGCUGAAUGCAUAGGCAGCGGGAGGGCAGCAGGCGAACUGAAACAUCUCAGUAGCCUGACGAGAAGAAAUCAAACGAGAUUCCCGUAGUAGUGGCGAGCGAACCGGGAGGAGCCCAAACCAGCGGUUUUUCGGAACCGCUGGGGUUGUAGGACCAGCACACGCGCGACCCACGCCGACUUGAAGGGGUUGGAAGGCCCCACCAUAGCGGGUGAGAGUCCCGUAGAGACAGGCGAUGGCGAGCGCGCUGGGAUCCUGAGUACCACGAACCCCGGUGAGUUUGUGGGAAGCUGGGGGGACCACCCUCCAAGGCUCAACACCUUCAGCGACCGAUAGUGAACUAGUACCGUGAGGGAAAGGUGAAAAGCGCCCCGAAAGGGGGAUGAAACAGACCCUGAAACCACGUACUCACCAGCAGUCAGAGGCCACUCUUGCAUCGUGCAAGUUAGGGCUGAUGGCGUGCCUUUUGUAGAAUGAUCCGGCGAGUGCAUCGUCGUCGCCUGGUUAACCUCCGCUAAAGGAGGGCAGCCACAGGGAAACCGAGUGUGAAGAGCGCGACGAACGAGUGGUGGCGAUGAUGCGACCCGAAACCACGUGAGCUAUCCAUGAGCAGAGUGAAGCGACUGUGAAAGGUCGUCGAGGCUCGCACCCACCAGUGUUGCAAAACUGGGGGAGGACUUGUGGAUAGGGGUGAAAUGCCAACCGAACGUGGAGAUAGCUGGUUCUCCCCGAAAUGUAUUGAGGUACAGCCACGAGCGGCGUGCUGCUGGAGGUAGAGCGCUGGCUGGGCAAGGGGCCAAGUGCUGGUUACCGAUCCCAACCAAACUUCCAAUGCCAGCAGACCAAGGGGCUCGUGAGUGAGACGGCGGGGGCUAAGCUUCGUCGUCCAAAGGGAAACAGCCCAGACCCGCAGCUAAGGUCUCAGAAUCGAUGCUCAGUGUGCAAGGCCGUGCGUGCGCAAAGACAGCCAGGAUGUUGGCUUAGAAGCAGCCAUCAUUGAAAGAGUGCGUAAUAGCUCACUGGUCGAGUGCGCGCGCACCGACAACGUAUCGAGGCUCAAGCAUCGUACCGAAGCUCGGGAUGUCCUCUCCCCAUCAGAGAGAGAGAGAGGGCAUGGUAGGGGAGCGUUGUGUGGGCAGGGAAGCCUGAUCGCAAGGACAGGUGGAGCGCACACAAGAGCGAAUGCCGGAAUGAGUAGCGUCAUGGGUGAGAGAACCACCCACACCGAAAGCCUGAGGGUUCCUGGGCAACGUCAGUCGUCCCAGGGUGAGUCGGGUCCUAAGCCGAGGACAUCACGUCGUAGGCGAUGGAAAGCAGGUCGGAAAUUCCUGCACCAGAGCCGGUCGUUACCGAGCCAAGCGGGGACGCGGUAGGGAACAUGAACCCAUCGAAUGGACAGGAUGGGCUGGCACCACGAAGCGCGAGACACAGGCAAAUCCGUGUCUCAUGAGAGCGUGACGGGUGCCACGAGUCCGCGCAAGCGGGCGGAAGUCAUGGCGCCCCACGCCGCCCAGAAAAGCCGCUAGCCAGACCGUGUUCUGCCCGUACCGCACACCGACACCGGUAGGCAGGGAGAACCCUCCCCAGGUGAACGAGCCAACCUCUGUCAAGGAACUCGGCAAAUUAACCCCGUACCUUCGGAAGAAGGGGUGCCCUAGUAGCUUUCUCUUGUGUUAUGCAAGAGAGGGCGAGGGGGUCGCAGGAAACUGGCUCAAGCGACUGUUUACCAAAAACACAGGUCUCUGCCAACGCGCAAGCGGACGUAUAGGGGCUGACUCCUGCCCAGUGCCGGAAGGUUAAGCGGAGCCGUGCGAGUAGCGGCGAAGCGAAGCCCCGGUGAACGGCGGCCGUAACUAUAACGGUCCUAAGGUAGCGAAAUUCCUUGUCGGGUAAGUUCCGACCCGCACGAAGGGAGUAACGACUUGAGCACUGUCUCGACAGGGGGCUCGGCGAAAUUGAAGUACCCGUGAAGAUACGGGUUCCCCACGACAGGACAAAAAGACCCCGUGGAGCUUUACUACACCCUGGUCUGGAGACGAGCUGAUGCCUGCGUAGCAUAGGUGGGAGCCGGUGAACCCUCUUUUGCGGAAGAGGGGGAGGCAACACUGAAAUACCACUCUUGCAUGAGUUUGUCGCUCAUGCCCAUCCGUAAGCCGGAGGGCAGACAGGGCCAGGCGGGUAGUUUGACUGGGGCGGUCGCCUCCCAAAGCGUAACGGAGGCGCCCAAGGGUUCCCUCAGGGUGAAUGGACACCACCCGCAUAGAGUGCAAAGGCACAAGGGAGCUUGACUGCGAGGCCGACGAGCCGAGCAGGGACGAAAGUCGGGCUUAGUGAUCCCACAUUUCCGCGUGGAAGGAGUGUGGCUCAACGGAUAAAAGCUACCCCGGGGAUAACAGGCUGAUCUUGCCCAAGAGUUCACAUCGACGGCAAGGUUUGGCACCUCGAUGUCGGCUUGGCGCAUCCUGGGGCUGGAGUAGGUCCCAAGGGUUGGGCUGUUCGCCCA